rnacentral:ncRNA from 1 species
CAGUUUGAUUCUGACUGAAAAAUUAACUUUUGCCAACCAAAAUACAUGUAAAAUAUAUUAAGCCCGCACUAAUAAAAACCUUAAUGGUAAAGUAAAUGUAUUUAGAAUAUUCUUAAUACAGCAGAGCGCCACAGUAAGUAACACUUUUCAAUUUGAGAAAUCAAGAAAAGAGUAUGGUAAUAGGGCUGGCAAAAUUCGUGCCAGCUGCCGCGGUUAGACGACAAGCCCAAGUUAAUAUAAUAUAAACUAAAUUAAUGAUAAGUUAAAAAAUAAUAAAAGUCUAAUUUUUAAAAUUCAAGCCUCACAAUUAUCGCAUACAAUAAUGAAAUCAUGAACUAAAACAUGGAUUAGAUACCCACCUAUUCAUGACAUAAAUAAAAGUUGAAUAUUACGAACAAUAGUUUAAAAUUCAAAGAUUUUGGCGGUGUCUUAUAAAACCAGGGGAACCUGUCUCAUAACUCGAUAAUCCACGCACACCUGACCUUCUCUCGACAAUUCAGCAUGUGUACUGCCGUUGUAAGCAUACCUUUAAAAGAAUAGUAUGCUACUAUGAUUAUAAUUAACUCAUAUACAUCAGGUCAAAGUGCAGCUAAUGAGGAGGAGAUGAUGGGUUACAACCAUAAAAAAGACUAUCAACUAAAAAAUAAAAAAUUUAUUACGAAAGUGGACUUGGCUGUAAUUAACUUCAGUUAAAACAAAUGAAUAAUCUCUAAGACAUGUACACAUCGCCCGUCACUCUAUCCUAAAGGUUAGACAAGUCGUAACAAAGUAGGUGUAAUGGAAAUUGCACCUGU